rnacentral:rRNA from 1 species
GAUGAACGCUAGCGGGAGGCCUAACACAUGCAAGCUGAGCGGUAUUUGUCUUUCGGGACAGAGAGAGCGGCGUACGGGUGCGGAACACGUGUGCAACCUGCCUUUAUCUGGGGGAUAGCCUUUCGAAAGGGAGAUUAAUACCCCAUAAUAUAAUGAGUGGCAUCACUGAUUAUUGAAAACUCCGGUGGAUAGAGAUGGGCACGCGCAAGAUUAGAUAGUUGGUGAGGUAACGGCUCACCAAGUCGAUGAUCUUUAGGGGCCUGAGAGGGUGAUCCCCCACACUGGUACUGAGACACGGACCAG